CAGCCGCCGCGGGAAUACGUAGGUGGCAAGCGUUGUCCGGAAUUAUUGGGCGUAAAGGGCUCGCAGGCGGUUUCUUAAGUCUGAUGUGAGAGCCCCCGGCUCAACCGGGGAGGGUCAUUGGAAACUGGGAAACUUGAGUGCAGAAGAGGAGAGUGGAAUUCCACGUGUAGCGGUGAAAUGCGUAGAGAUGUGGAGGAACACCAGUGGCGAAGGCGACUCUCUGGUCUGUAACUGACGCUGAGGAGCGAAAGCGUGGGGAGCGAACAGGAUUAGAUACCCCAGUAGUCCCUGUCUCUUAUAC
rnacentral:rRNA from 1 species